rnacentral:rRNA from 1 species
ACAUUAUAAAUAUGAUGUAGGUUUAGAUAAAACGCUAAAUAGAGACAUAACACAUGCAAGUUAUAAAGAUAAACUUUAUAGCGAUCAGGUGAGUAAAUAUGGGUUAUUUAAUGAGCAGGGUUCCCCGCCCGAAGGGCGGGUACACAUACUGCUCACUUAAUAAAAAACCUUAAUAGAUGUAGGUAUUGAUCUUUUUAUAUAUUAAUUAAUAAUAAAAUUAUAUUAUAUAUAUAGUUUUAUAAAAUUAAAUAUAAUACAAUAAUUAAAUAGAAAAUAGAAUAAAAAUAGAUUAGCCGAUGACCUAUACUCCAUGGUGGGAGCCAUAAGGAGCACAUAGAAUUAAUAUUCUACUACUUUUAGUAGCAGCAGUGAGGAAUUAUUGACAAUGAUCUUAAAGAUUGAUCAUGUUAUCUAUUAAAGAUGAGGAUAUUUAAAGAAGAAGUUAGCCCGAAAUCUUUGAUUUCGGGCGCUAUAUUCUUUAUCCCAAUAUAAUAAUAUUUAUAUAUUGUUAUAUUAAUAAGGAUACGAAAUUAAAUAUUAAAUAAUCUUAUUUAUAUAAAAAAUAAUGAUAAUUAUAUAAAUUAGUCCUUACCAAGAGGUGUGCCAGCAGUAGCGGUGAUACACACAGGGCAAGCGUUUAUCAUCAAUGGUUUAAAGAAUCCGUAGGCUUAAUCUUUUCAACAGGAAAAGUGUAAUAUAAAGCUUAACCCCCGCCCUUUUAAGGGCGGGGGAAUACCCGUAUAGGUAUUUAAGCCUAUUUACUUAAAUUAAUUAUUAAUUUUAUAUAGAAUCUAUCUUUUAAUAUUAUGAAAAUUAUAUAGAGAGUUAAUAUGCAAUAACAUAUAAUAGACAGCAUAAAAGAUAUUAUAGAUAGAUUGACGCUGAGGGAUGAAAGCUAUAAUAGCGAUUUGGAUUCGUGACCCAAGUAGUUAUAGCCUUAAACUAUGUAUACCACAUAAAAAUUACUAACAUAUUUUCUUCUUUAAUAUAUGUAUAUAUUAUUUAUAUUAUAUUAUAAAAAUAUAAUAAUUAUUAUUAUAUAAUAUUAUAUUAAAUAUAAUUAAAUAAGAGGGAGACAAUAAGGUAAUUUUAAACGGAAGUUUACGUAAAGAGUAUACCACCAGAGUAGUACAUUCGCAAGAAUGAAAUGAAAUACAUUAGACAUUUACAUAUAAAGGCAGUGGAUCAUGCUGUUUAAUUGGAUUAUACCCCCUAAUCUUACCAAAUCUUGAAUAAAUAUAAAUAAAUAUAUUUACAGGCGUUACAUUGUUGUCGUCAGUUCAUGCUUAAUGGUAUAUUAUAUAUAAUAAAUGAACUAAAACCUUCCUAGAUAGAUAAGAGUAUAUAUUAAGAGAUAGGAUGACGCCCGCCCUAUGGGCGGGCGUACUUUCCCAUGAAAAAAUAUAUUCUUUAAUUGAUAUUAUAGGGUAAUAGACGUAUUAUCGGCAGUUGAGGUUAAAGACUAAUCCGCAUGACCCUUAUGAUUUGGGCUACAGGUGUGAUACAUAAUUAAUUAUUAAUGAAAUCUUAAUUUAUUAAUAUUAGAUAGAUAAAAUAAUUAAAUAAAGAAAUAUGAUCAAUAAAAUGAAUUAAUAACUGAAACUCGUUAUUAUGAAAAAGGAACUGCUAGUAAUCGUAUUAUACACAAAUACGGUGAACAAAUCAUAUGUUAGGUACUAAUUACUCAUCAAUAGCAUAAAUAAGAUAUAUUAUUGUAUAUUUAAUUCUAUGAUGUGAUAAACAUAACUAUAUAUGAUAAAUAUCAUAUGAUAUAGUAUGGCCGCCGUUUUUAAAAUAAAAACGGCGGCUUAUGUUUAUAAUAAAAAACACAUUUAUUUAAUUUCAUAUUCACAAUAUCACUUAUCUCUGAUAUGCUAUAAGUUGAAAUAUACUUCGGGUAAGGGAACUUGCUCGGGUGUAAUUGAAUGAUAUUUAUAUUAUAACUUAAUAUAUUUUAAUAUAUAUUCCCUUGAACU